rnacentral:lncRNA from 1 species
GUAGGGGAAAGAAAAAAAAAAUCCAUUUAUAAAUAUUCAAAAGCUGAUUUAUUUAUUUUUUUAAUACAGAAGUUGGGACUUCCUUGUGGCUCAGCUUUACCUCCAGGAGUGACCAAUAUAGGAGGAGUCAGAAUGUCAUCAUUUUCCAACAUUUUGAACCUCAACAUCCCUUCAUACAUAAGCUGGGACUUCCAAUGGGCAGGCAGCGUGCAAUGUUGACCUUCACUUCAGCAUGAGCUUCUUAUGUGUACUAUGUACUUUCACUGAAAAAAGGGCCUUUGGAAGAGAUGAGUGCUUGUUUUAUGAAAAACUUAGUAGAGAUUAAUCCUUUAAAUGCUCUAAUUAUAGCUAUUUAAGUAUAAGGUAUCUAAACUAAGCUUAUCACCUUCAGAGAGACAACAGCUGACCUUAUAGGCAAAAGAUGAGCACCUGCAAUUAGCAAGUGAUCACUUCCUGAGAUGGGCAGGUCUAAUUAUCUUUUCUGAGAACCUUGUUCUCUCCACUCAUUAUAAAAAGAUAGCCUAAACAAUCUGGUCAUAUCACGUGCUUAACUUUCAGAAGGCUAAAGUAGAUGAGGUAAAUCCUACCUUUAUCCAAGGAGUGUCUAACUUGGGGUUAAUGCCUGCUAGCAAUUGCUGCUCAUCACCAGGCUGCUAAGCCUCCACAGGCUUAGCAUCUGCAGAAGACCAGUUAAGAAGACCAGAAGAUUUAAAUGACUGCAUAACCCAGGAAGCCAAAAACAACAAAGAAAGCAAAAGGCUACUGAAUUUCAGAGUCAUAACUGGACCCAUCAAAAAUGGGUAUCUGGGACCUCAUUUUCUCUUCUUGUCUCCUCUCAUUUCAAUAUUAAAUAAGAUGUUCUCUCUCAGCCUGUGUUCCGACUCCAAAAGCUCAUCUGCGAAUUUGACUAGGGCUGAAUGGAUUAUUCAAAGCAUGCAUGUUUGCUGCUUUGAAGGGGACUGUUUUGAUUCCAUUCAUUAGAACAAUAGUGAGAAUAGUGUCCAAAUGUACUCGCUGCGACUGCCUGUAAUGCUCUUAUGCAUAUGCAUGGCUACAGUCUUGUAUUGUCAUAUGGACCCUUUGUGUCAGGUCUGAGUCAUUUUGCUCUCACUACAUAAGUUACUGUAGGAGUGCUUUCUCAUUUAUUUUUUCUGUUAUCAAUUUAAACCUUUAAAGGCAAGCAAAUAAAUUCUCUCUGCUGUCAUCUAAAUAUAUAUUA